rnacentral:rRNA from 1 species
GAUGAACGCUAGCGGCAGGCUUAAUACAUGCAAGUCGAGGGGCAGCAUGAGUAGCAAUACUUGAUGGCGACCGGCAAACGGGUGCGGAACACGUACACAACCUUCCUUUCAGCGGGGAAUAGCCCAGAGAAAUUUGGAUUAAUACCCCAUAGAAUAUUGAAGAGGCAUCUCUUUAUUAUUAAAGAUUUAUCACUGAAAGAUGGGUGUGCGGCUGAUUAGAUAGUUGGCGGGGUAACGGCCCACCAAGUCUACGAUCAGUAGCUGAUGUGAGAGCAUGAUCAGCAACACGGGCACUGAGACACGGGCCCGGCUCCUACGGGAGGCAGCAGUAAGGAAUAUUGGUCAAUGGACGAAAGUCUGAACCAGCCAGGCCGCGUGAAGGAUGAAGGUCCUCUGGAUUGUAAACUUCUUUUAUAUGGGACGAAAAAAGGUCAUUCUUGAUCACUUGACGGUACCAUUUGAAUAAGCACCGGCUAACUCCGUGCCAGCAGCCGCGGUAACAC